rnacentral:tRNA from 1 species
GACCGCGUAGCUCAGUUGGCAGAGUAUUGGCCUAGUAUUCCAAAGGUCGUAGGUUCGAUUCCCACCGUGGUCA